AGGCGAUUAUUUUAAUCAAAAUCUUUGAUUUCGGCUCAAAAACUUGCGGUUAAAGUCCGUAAUCACCUA
rnacentral:tRNA from 2 species